rnacentral:rRNA from 1 species
UCAAGUGCUGGAGGCAUUGCCCAUUGCGCGGUAUAACCAAGAGACAACGUGGAUAGCAGACCCAACAUGACCAGGCAAGUGUACAUUACUCAGCAAAAGAGCAGCUGAGUUUGAUAUGACGCGCAUACAUACUGAGCUACUCGAUGUGUUGCCAAACUUGUGAAGUGUCAUCCUUGAUGGCUCAACAUGCUCAUCAAGCAGGCAGAGGCUACGCUGCACAACAUCGAUUACAACCCGUCCACCUGCAUGGAUGCACAAAUACUCGAAAGCUUUGCGGAACUCAGGCACGUAUGGCUUGGUGGUUCCAUUUAGCACCUUCCGUGAGAUGAACGAGAGCAGAAAAUCAAUCUUGACUGAGAAUGGAAGAACAAGCGGUCCAACCAUGGUGAUGUUAGCCCGAGAGCCUUUCCAGCGACAUCCACAAGAUCCGUCUUGGGAGCUGGUGCAAUUCCGAACUACGUGCGCCAUCUCAAAACGAGCUUGUGUACUCGACGUUGAGAGGAGCACUGCCGAGCCAAUGCGGAACAACUGUUGGUCAGCUGCAUUUCGCGUUUCCUCCCGGUGUAGUAGACACCAGUCAAAAUCUCCGGGUUGGUUUCGAUCUGACGGCUUAAACAAGCCAGUUAGAUCCCACUCGAUCAGGGGGAGCACUACAGUGAUGGGAAGACCUAAGCCAGCCGCCGCUGCUAUCCCCGGCCAGUGUCGGUAGUGUCCUGAAGGAAACAAGACGUCAAGGAGAACCUCUGCUUUGACUACAUCACCCCAAAUGCGUCGUAGCCGCCUUUUCCCUUCGGGGCCCGCACAGCGCCCACCGUUGUGCGAGGGCAGAGACGCCGUCGUGCCCUGGCCGACGCGCGAAAUGCUCCUGCGCCAUGCUGCCGCUCUUACGGACGUGCGCGUGUAUGGGCCGUCGCCCCGCACGCCGCCGUCGACCUCUUCAUGACGCGGUGGCCGACACCCCAUCUUGCCCUCCUGAUGUGCCAUGCGCACGAACGCCAGAGCCACGCUUGAUAGAGAAGCACGUGGGAAUGACUCCGCUGCACGCUCCUCCAGCGAGCGCAGCCGCCGCGCCGCCAAGGCCGGUGCGCUUCGAACCACCGCUGAAAGCUGCCGCCGGUCUUGGGAGCGAGAAAUGCGGGGGAGGAGGGGAAGAAUGACCGUGAAAGCGUGGCCUAUCGAUCCUUUAGAUCUUCGGAGUUUGAAGCUAGAGGUGUCAGAAAAGUUACCACAGGGAUAACUGGCUUGUGGCAGCCAAGCGUUCAUAGCGACAUUAGGGUUGGCUCUGUGCGGCGGUUUUGUUCCGACCACGUGCGAAGCUGACCGUCCGAUUUGAUCGGGCAGCUCACAGCAACGGGGAGCACCGGCUCGGGCCUUAGGGCGCUCAAUGGGCCAAUUUUGAUCGUGGGCUGCGGACCAGGUAUUUACAGUCCAGCGAUUUUUUACGUGUUUUGCUGCUGGGAUGGACCGUUUUACGUGUAGCUGUGGGUAUUUCGGGCACAU